rnacentral:rRNA from 1 species
AUUGAACGCUGGCGGCAGGCCUAACACAUGCAAGUCGAACGAGUGGCGGACGGGUGAGUAAUGUCUGGGAAACCGUCCGCUGGAGGGGGAUAAAUCCUGGAAAAGGUUGCGAAUACCCCAUACACUCUGAUUUGCGCAGAUGGGUUUGGCUAUUAGGUGGGGUAACGGCUCACCAAGGCGACGAUCCCUAGCUGGUCUGAGAGGUUGACCAGCCAAACUGGGACUGAGACACGGUCCAGACUCCUACGGGAGGAAGCAGUGGGGAAUGUUGGACAAUGGGGGCAAGCCUGAUGCAGCCAUGCCGCGUGUAUGAAGAAGGCCUUCGGGUUGUAAAGUACUUUCAGCGGGGAGGCGUUACCCGCAGAAGAAGCACCGGCUAACUACGUGCCAGCAGCCGCGGUAAUUC